rnacentral:rRNA from 1 species
CCUACGGGUGGCAGCAGUGAGGAAUCUUCGUCAAUGGGCGCGAGCCUGACCCAGCCAAGUCGCGUGAAGGAUGACGGCCCUACGAGUUGUAAACUUCUUUUAUAAAGGAAUAAAGUGAUGCACGUGUGCCUUUUUGUAUGUACUUUAUGAAUAAGGAUCGGCUAACUCCGUGCCAGCAGCCGCGGUAAUACGGAGGAUCCGAGCGUUAUCCGGAUUUAUUGGGUUUAAAGGGAGCGUAGAUGGGUUGUUAAGUCAGUUGGGAAAGUUUGCGGCUGAACCGUAAAAUUGCAAUUGAUACUGGUAGUCUUGAGUACAGUAGAGGUAGGCGGAAUUCGUGGUGUAGCGGUGAAAUGCGUAGAUAUAACGAAGAACUCCGAUUGCGAAGGCAGCUUACUAAACUGCCACUGACAUUGAUGCUCGAAAGUGUGGGUAGCAAACAGGAUUAGAUACCCGGGUAGUC